UACGGAGGGUGCAAACGUUGCUCGGAAUCAUUGGGCGUAAAGCGCACGUAGGUGGCCUGUUAAGUCGGGUGUGAAAUCCCUGGGCUCAACCCAGGAAGUGCACUCGAAACUGGCAGGCUUGAGUACUGAAGAGGGUCGCGGAAUUCCCGGUGUAGAGGUGAAAUUCGUAGAUAUCGGGAGGAACACCGGUGGCGAAGGCGGCCUUCUGGACAGUGACUGACGCUGAGACGCGAAAGCGUGGGGAGCAAACAGG
rnacentral:rRNA from 1 species